UCCGAGUACGUUGGUUCGUCUACUUCAUGGAUUCGGUCUUCUUCCUAGCGGGAUUUCAGGCAAGAUGACUGUCACCUUGGAUCCCACGACUGAGACGAGAUACGCGCGGCUACUAUCAGGGUGUCGGCACGUCGAGAGGUCUUGAUAGACUUGUUUUACCAUUGUCGAAAUGUCUUGUGCAUCGGGAUUCCGAGUCUGAUCGGAGGGUCCCGAGAUGGAGGAUUGUCUUCGCAGAUCGUGAGCUUGUCAUGGGCUAAGUUGGGACACCCCUGCAGGGUUUAAACUUCCGAGAGCCGUGCCCGCGUUUAUGUGGCAGAUGGGAAUUUUUAAUAUCUGGUUGUAGAGAACUUGACACCAGACCUGAAAUAAAAUACACCAAUUGCGUGCGUAACCGUGACGGUCUCUUUUCGAGUGAGUCGAGAAGAGAACACGGUGGGGUUAUGUUUGAACGUAAGUAGUUCAGGAUCACUUCUUGAUCAUUACUAGUUUGCGACCGAUUGCAUAGUUUCUCAUCUCACUCUUGUACUCGUAAGUUAGCCACCAUACAAAUGCUUAGUCGCUUGAUGCGACCUCACCACUUAUCCAUUCCAUUCCCACGAAGUUUGCUAGUCUUGCUACCCAUGGUAAUGGGAUUUCUGAGUCCUUGUGGCUCACAGAUUACUACAACAACAGUUGCAGGUACAGGUAAUGCGGUGAUCUCACGUGAGAGCGAGGCUUGAUUGCUUUUGGAGUUCUUCUUCUUCGAUCAAGGGAUAGGUUCCGGGUCGAGGAGCCUGGGCUAGCAGGGUGGAUGUCGUUCUUCCAUUUCGUUUGAUUUCAUACGUAGUCGGAUCCUGCUCUUCUGUAUGACGAUUGCUAUGUAUUGAUGAACUAUUGUAUUCAUGAUGUAGCUUGUGGCGAGUGUAAGCCUUUAUCUUGUAUUCUCACCUAUUCAGUACAUGGUAUGUGUAAUAAUAUCCACCUUGCUAUGCGCUCGAAAUGCGGUUGUGCCUCAAUCAUGAAUUCAUCACGUGAUUGGGAUAGAAUCGCAUCUUGGGUGUUACACCUGAGCACAGAUGCCGUGCCAGUCCUUAAUCAUGAGGCGGUCGUGGGUCGGCUCACAAGGGCAUACGACCUUCAUGGCGAUGAAGCACCGGGCAAACAGACGAUAAUCAUAAAGCAACUCAUGGAGUAAGGUAAAGCCAGUUCUGAUAGACGCAAGAAGGAUGCAUGCCACAAGGACGGACCCAUACGGCUUGGGGAUGAUGCAGCCCGAGGGGCACCCCCAACUGAACAAACCAAGAGAUGUCACCUGGC
rnacentral:lncRNA from 1 species